rnacentral:rRNA from 1 species
UACGAAGGGGGCGAGCGUUGUUCGGAUUUACUGGGCGUAAAGGGCGCGUUAGGCGGCCCUCCUAGUCGCGUGUGAAAGCCCCGGGCUCAACCUGGGGAAUUGCGCGCGAAACGGGGGGCUUGAGUUCGGGAGAGGAGCGUGGAAUUCCAGUGUAGAGGUGAAAUUCGUAGAUAUUGGGAAGAACACCGGUGGCGAAAGGCGGCGCUCUGGACCGAGACUGACGCUGAGGCGCGAAAGCGUGGGGAGCAAACAGG